UUCGUCGCCACUUUCAUUCUUUGUUGUGGCGAUCAGAGGUUUGAUAAACGUUCAAUUCCCCACAAACCCUAAAACCAAAGACGACAUUCAUCUUCAAUAGUUUUUCGUCGAUUCAAGUUUGAUAAACAAAGAUUUUCAAUUAAAUCUUUGUUGAUUCCGAUGGUGCCGUCGUCGAAGAAGAUAAGUGCACCGAUUUUCAAUUAAAUCUUUGUUGAUUCCGAUGGUGC
rnacentral:lncRNA from 1 species